UGCUGCCCUUUGCAAUCUAUAGAAUCAAGGUUAUUCCAGAGACUUCUCUGAUUUGAUAUUUUUAAUGCUUCUGAGUUUCAACCGUCCGAACCUUUGAUCUGUAAUCUUUUCGGUACCCGAAAUCAACCUUUAAUCCAUUCCAAUUUUUUUCCAUUUUUAAAUACCUCAUUGUCCUAAAAGGUAAUUGAACUUGAGGCAUCAAGGAACCAAACCCUUUGUACUACCACUAAGGCACCAAGGUUUUGGUUAGUGUAGAGUAUAUUGGAUUGGAACCUAAGGUCAUCCCCAUCAAAGAAUUUAAUGAGUUGCUUAGGAGUUGCUAAAGUAUUUUUACAGAUUAAAUUUAAUUCUUUUUGUAUGAUUUAGCUUAGGAUCGAUGGUUAGGUAAGAUGUUUUAGAUUUGUUCAGAAACUUGGGUGUGUCAGUUUUUGAUUGGAUGAGUGAAAAAUAAAGUUUUUUUUUUGUUAUGUGGUUUUCUCUCUCUCGUCUCUCUCCCGAUGGAUGGCAAUACUCCACAUAGAAGAAGCCGAGAAUUGAUUUCACCGGAGGCAUCAUAUCUCCACUGUAAGAGACACUAUCGACGAUCUCGGUUCAUCAAUCCGGGAGCCAAUUGAUUGACCAAAUCGGAAAUUUUAGUUGCCAAAUCUCCAACGGGGUGGUUCAAUGAUGCUGUGCUGCUGAUUCUCAAGUUGUUUCAAAUUUUGAUAUACAGGAUAUCUUUAACUAAAUAAACAACAUGUGUUCAGAUUAAAGAUUACACUACAACAAUCUCUCUCAUGGAAUUCUUCGAUUGUCCGCAACAAUUCUCUCUCUCUUGGAUUCCAUCGCGAUUUACUCGGCGUUCCGCGAGCUACUCAGUUUCGACAGAGUUUGAAUUCUUGGAAUCCAAUUCUAAAGAGCUAUGGUUUGUGAUUUUUGUGUUCAGAUUGAUAUCUUGAAAGUGGAGCGGAUUUGGUGAAACAUAGAGAUCCAUCUUCUGUUGCAGGUUUUUAUUUCUAUAUUGGUUGUGUUCUUGCUUUUAUUAUAAAGAACUAUGCAAUCUCUUGUAUUAUGUGUUUUUUUGUAUCAAUAUAGUGAUACUCACUCUU